AUGGCUUCCUCCACGGCCGCUGCAGCCGCAGUCACAUCUCUCUUACCGCCGCCCGUGGGUGCCGAGAGGCCGGUUCCCCAGGGCCGCCUCCUCUUCCGCGCCUCCCGCGCCCGCUCCAGCCCCCUACGGCUCAACCCCGUCCGACACCACGGGCUCUCGCCGGCGCCUAGAGCGGCCAAGGCUGUGGAGGCAGCGAAGGCUGACCCUCUAAAUGUCAUGAUAGCGGGAGCUCCGGCGUCUGGGAAGGGCACGCAGUGCGAGCUAAUCAAGGCCAAAUAUGGUCUGGUGCACAUUUCAGCUGGAGAUUUGUUAAGGGCAGAAAUCGCCACAGGCACCGACAAUGGGAAGCAGGCCAAGGAGUUUAUGGAGAAGGGACAGCUGGUUCCUGAUGAGAUCGUUGUUAAUAUGGUGAAGGGGCGUCUUCUGCAACCAGAUGCUCAGGAAAAGGGUUGGCUUUUGGAUGGUUACCCGAGAAGUUAUUCACAGGCAAUGGCACUGGAAACUCUUGGAAUCCGGCCUGACAUUUUCAUUCUAUUAGAUGUUCCCGAUGAACUUCUUGUUGAAAGGGUAGUUGGCAGACGGCUGGAUCCUGAAACUGGGAAAAUAUACCAUCUAAAGUAUUCUCCACCUGAGAAUGAAGAAAUUGCAUCCAGGCUUACACAAAGAUUUGAUGAUACAGAAGAAAAGGUUAAGCUGAGGUUGCAGACUCAUUAUCAAAAUAUCGAGUCCUUGGUUUCGAUAUAUGAAGAUGUUAUAGUCAAGGUAAAUGGAAAUACCACGGUGGAAGAUGUAUUCGGUGAGAUCGAGAAGCUGCUCACUUCCAGCCUUGAUAAGAAAACAGAAAUGGUGGCUAGCUAA
rnacentral:rRNA from 1 species